rnacentral:lncRNA from 1 species
UUAUUAUUCCAAUUUGAAUUACCCACGUAGUACACUGACGCUAGAUUUAAUGGGCAUUUGUCAAACACAAGGUAUUCGCCACAAUAAACACACGACAGCUUGGCUGAUUUCAUCUCCUAGAUUGCAGUUAGAUUUCUCAUUAUUUUAAUCAUAUUAGUUAAAGAGGAUAUAUGGGUUGUUAAUGAUGUGAUUGCAUCAAACUCCAUGGUCCCAACAGCUCU